rnacentral:rRNA from 1 species
UACAGAGGUCCCGAGCGUUGUUCGGAUUCACUGGGCGUAAAGGGCGCGUAGGCGGGAUGGCAAGUCGGUCGUGAAAUCCUUCGGCUCAACCGAAGAACGUCGAUCGAUACUGCUGUUCUUGAGGGUUGCAGAGGAGACUGGAAUUCCCGGUGUAGCGGUGAAAUGUGUAGAGAUCGGGAGGAACACCGGUGGCGAAGGCGGGUCUCUGGGCAAUUCCUGACGCUGAGGCGCGAAAGCGUGGGGAGCAAACGGG